rnacentral:rRNA from 1 species
UACGUAGGGUGCAAGCGUUAAUCGGAAUUACUGGGCGUAAAGCGUGCGCAGGCGGCUUUGCAAGACAGAUGUGAAAUCCCCGGGCUUAACCUGGGAACUGCAUUUGUGACUGCAGGGCUGGAGUGCGGCAGAGGGGGAUGGAAUUCCGCGUGUAGCAGUGAAAUGCGUAGAUAUGCGGAGGAACACCGAUGGCGAAGGCAAUCCCCUGGGCCUGCACUGACGCUCAUGCACGAAAGCGUGGGGAGCAAACAUG